AAUCUAUCGCUCUUUUAUCUCUAGUCGGCCACAAACCCUUCCUUCCUUCUUCUCCCAAAUCCCAAACCCCCAAAAUCCAAAAACCCACUUCCAAAAUUUAAUAAAGAUCGAGGCUUUCACUCUCACACGCAGUGAGAAGGAGAGGCAGUGAAAACCCACAUGGAUUCCGAUCAGGGGAAGCUUUUUAUUGGUGGGAUUUCAUGGGAGACCUCCGAGGAUAAGCUUAAAGAGUACUUCAGCAACUACGGCGAUGUUUUGCAGACGGUGGUCAUGAGGGAUAAGACCUCCGGCCGCCCCAGGGGUUUUGGGUUUGUGGUUUUUGUAGAUCCUGCUGUUCUCGAUAGGGUUCUUCAGGAUCAGCACACCAUCGAUGGUAGAACGGUUGAGGCUAAGAGAGCCCUAUCAAGAGAGGAGCAGCAAACCACUGGGAGAGUUGGAAAUGCUUAUCCUACUAGAAGUGCUGGAAGUGGGGGAAAUGUUAGGACCAAGAAGAUAUUUGUUGGAGGGUUGCCCCCCACUCUUAGUGAGGAAGGAUUCCGUGAAUAUUUUGAAGCUUAUGGCCAUGUAACUGAUGUAGUAGUAAUGUAUGACCAAAGUACUGGACGUCCUCGUGGGUUUGGGUUCAUUUCAUUUGACACUGAAGAAGCUGUUGAUAGGGUUUUGCACAAGACAUUUCAUGAUUUAAAUGGGAAGCAAGUGGAAGUUAAGCGGGCUCUUCCUAAAGAUGCCAACCCUGGUGGGGGUAGCCGUAGCAUGGGUGGUGGUCAAGGUGGCGGAGGUGCUGCUGGAGGUGGUUAUCAAGGCUAUGGGGCAUCUGCUGGUAACCCAAAUUCAUAUGAUGGUCGAAUGGACUCCAACAGGUACAUGCAAUCGCAGAGUACUGGAGGUGGGUUUCCACCUUAUGGUUCUUCUGGGUAUAGCACACCUGGUUACGGGUAUGGUCCUACCAGUAAUGGAAUUGGCUAUGGCAGUUAUGGAAGUUAUGGAGGUGCUAAUACUGGUUAUGGAGGUCCAGCAGCUGCUGCAUACGGAAACCCUAAUGCUGCAAAUGCUGCUUAUGCUGGUGGUCCUCCAGGUGCUCCUAGAAGUGCAUGGAGCUCUCAAGGUCCCUCUGGAUAUGGUGCUAUGGGUUAUGGGAAUACUGCUCCUUGGGGUGUUUCAAGUGGCAGUGCAGGUACAGGAAGUGGUGGCCCUGGUUCUGCACCUGCUGGUCAAUCACCUAGUGCAGCGGCUGGGUAUGGAACUCAAGGGUAUGGUUAUGGUGGGUACAGUGCAACAGAUGCAUCCUAUGCAAAUCCAUCUGGAUAUGGUGCUGUUGGAGGACGUUCGGGGAGUGUCCCAAAUAACAAUGUUGGUGCUCCAGGUGGGGAGCAAGGUAGUGCUGGUGGCUAUGGUGGAAGUGGCUAUGGCGAUUCAAAUGGAAAUGCAGGUUAUGGAAAUACUGGUUGGAGAUCUGAUCCAUCACAAGCUUCUGGAAAUUAUGGUGCUCCGGCAAAUGGUGGACAAGUUGGUUAUGGUGGUGGAUAUGGCAGUGCUCAGGCACGGCAAUCCCAGCAGCAGUAAUUUUGAUGGUCGACUGUCUCAAUUGAAAUUGCAUCCUGUUUUAUGGAUCUGUAUCUCUUUAUGCAUGAGGUAGUAAUGGUUUCUCAUGACCAGCGGCAGUAGCAGGAACAGCUCAAGUUGGAUGACAAUGCUUUGGGACUGGAGGAGGUGCACGAGUUGUAAAGUGAAGUGUCCAUCAUGGCUGAACAUGAGCUUCAUGGUGGGGCAUGUUCAUUGGGGGUAUGUUCAACAUGGAAUGAAACUUUGGGAAGUUUGUUCUCUUGAAAUUAAUCAGGUCAUUCUCCAGUCAGGCCAUGCCAACACUGUCAAACUCUGCAGAGUCCUCGAGCUCACUUCAUUGCUAUCGUGAACUUCACACCCGGGUUUGUGGUUGCAUGACAGAUUGUGAGGUGAACAGCCGACGGUAUGUUGACUUGAGCAGCUUUCCCAGUAUCACUUUAAAAUUUGAUUGUGGACCGCUGUGUUUUGAUCGUAGGAUAAAUUAGAGAAGCAGAAAGGUGGUGUUUCUGUUAAAAUUAGUUAUAUAGAACUUUAGAAGGAAGUAGAAAACCCAUUGCAUUUUCAUUCAUUUAUUGUUCCAGCCUGAGAACGUAGGGUAAGAUUUUAUUAUACAUUUUUUUCAUUAAGAGUUAUGACUAUUGUAACGGUACAGACUGUUUUGUUUUUCUCCUACCCUGUUUUAGAGUACCCUGUUUCCUGUUU